UUGACGAAGAGAUUAUUUACAUGAUAUUUUUAUGUUUAAUUCAAAAAAUAAAAGAAUACAAAUUCAAAGGAGCAGAAGAGCACAUCCACUCAAUUACUUGCAUCUUUUUGUCACUCAAUUGUGGAUAUGAAAAUUAACCAGCUUCUUGCUACAUCACCUCACAAACACCCAAUCCAGUUCCUCUAGCGCUGCUGUGGAAACCAAAAGUGUCAUGUAUUGCUGGGCAAAAUGGGGAGUAACAUACAUGGACCAUGUUUCCAUGCAAAUCAGUGGUCGAAGCCUAACUUGAUCUCCCUAGAAAGAUUCAAAGGAUAAUGCCAAAAGAAAUGCAAAUUACAUUCACUACCAUCCAGGGUUGGCCCGACAAGUUGUCAAAGUCUCAUGACUUUAUUUCAAUUACUAGCAAGCAAGAUCUUUGUAGCACCACUUUAAAAGGCCAUGGAAAUUACAAAUGUAUUAUCUACAUUCUAGUUGUAACACUUGACAGUAAUUACCUGAAGAGGGUUCAUAGAACCUUUGAAUAAGAGAAAUGAUUGUGCUUUUUCCAGAACCACUUGGACCAACAACUGCUACUGUCUUUCCAGCAUUCACUGAGAAGCUCAAAUUUUCAAAGAUCAUAUUGCUUCUUGAAGGGUAAGCAAAGCAAACCUCACAAAAAUCAAUUUUCCCUGCUACUUGUGGCAACACAGUGCCAUCAUCCAACCUUUUAGAUGAUUCUGAAACAGAUGCAAUCAUGUUCAUGAUAUUCGCCGCAGCUGCACGCCCUUUCGCAAUUGAACCAAGGUUUGGAGCAGCUUGACCAAGAGCACUAUUAUAAAAUGGAGCUACUAUAUUAGUUAAGCCAUUACUUAAACCUAAUUCAUUCAUUUGCUCAUGCAUAGUUUUAAUAUUCAUAGUAUUUUUAGCAUGCAUCUGUCUCUAGAUUGAUGCAUUAAAAGUAAUUGGCAGUGUUAGUUUUAAGAAAUUAAAUUAAAUUCAAUGUGUUGCAUCACAUCUUAUCUACCUAUGAAUAUAGAUAUAUUAGUGCACUCCACAUGCAUUUUGAAUGUAUACUUCUAAACUAAUAUAAAUAUAUGUAUUAGUUUUGAUGGACUUACAAUCCACUAAAGAUGA